rnacentral:rRNA from 1 species
GAAUGUAUGAGAAUACUACUUGGAUAACCGUAGUAAUUCUAGAGCUAAUACAUGCAACGACGCCCGACCGUUUCACUACGGAAGGGCUGUAUUUAUUGGAUACCAAAACCAUCCUUCCCUCGGGAAGUUUUGUUUGAUGAUUCACAAUAACUGAUCGGAUCGCCACUGUGGUGGCGACAGGUCAUUCAACAUUCUGCCCUAUCAGCUUUCGAUGGUUGUGUAGUGGACAACCAUGGCCAUAACGGGUAACGGAGAAUCAGGGUUCGAUUCCGGAGAAGGAGCUUGAGAAUUGGCUACUACAUCUAAGGAAGGCAGCAGGCGCGCAAAUUACCCAAUCCCGAUUCGGGGAGGUAGUGACAAAAAAUAACAAUACCGGGCCUUUUUGGGCUUGGUAAUUGGAAUGAGGGAGAGUUAAACGGACCAUCGAGUGUCCAUUGGAGGGCAAGUCUGGUGCCAGCAGCUGCGGUAAUACCAGCUCCAAUAGCGUAUAUUAAAGUUGUUGCAGUUAAAAAGCUCGUAGUUGGACUUGUGUGCGCUGUCCGCGGGUGGCCUGCGCCCAAAAGGGCGUUUCGGUUCGGCCCCGGUGGCGCCUUGAAAUCUGCAACUGGGGGGACGUUGGCCUUAACUGGUCGGCGACCGCACGCCGGCUGCUCGGUUACUGUGAGAAAAUUAGAGUGUUCAAGGCAGGCAUUGGGUGCAAUUGAAUACAUUAGCAUGGAAUAAUAAAAUAUGGCUCCUGCCGUAUUUUGUUGGUUUUGACUGGUGGGAGUAAUGAUUGAUAGGGACGGUUGGGGGUGCUAGUAUUGAGCGGCCAGAGGUGAAAUUCAUGGAUUCGCUCAAGACUAACUUAUGCGAAAGCAUUCACCAAGGACGUCCUCUUUAAUCAAGAACGAAAGUUGGGGGAUCGAAGACGAUCAGAUACCGUCGUAGUCUCAACCAUAAACUAUGUCGACUUGGGAUCGGCGGUAGUUUUUUCAUUAAGACACUGUCGGGACCACGGGAGAAAUCAAAGUGUCUGGACUCUGGGGGAAGUAUGGUCGCAAGGCUGAAACUUGAAGGAAUUGACGGAAGGGCACCACCAGGAGUGGAGCCUGCGGCUUAAUUUGACCCAACACGGGGAAACUUACCAGGUCCAGAGAUGUAGAGGAUUGACAGAUUGAAGCUCUUUCUUGAUCACUUCGGUGGUGGUGCAUGGCCGUUCUUAGUUGGUGGAGUGAUUUGUCUGGUUAACUCCGUUAACGAACGAGACCUCAGCCUGCUAGUGUAGUCGGCUGGA